AGUGAACGCUGGCGGUAGGCCUAACACAUGCAAGUCGAACGGCAGCACAGUAAGAGCUUGCUCUUACGGGUGGCGAGUGGCGGACGGGUGAGGAAUACAUCGGAAUCUACUUUUUCGUGGGGGAUAACGUAGGGAAACUUACGCUAAUACCGCAUACGACCUACGGGUGAAAGCAGGGGAUCUUCGGACCUUGCGCGAUUGAAUGAGCCGAUGUCGGAUUAGCUAGUUGGCGGGGUAAAGGCCCACCAAGGCGACGAUCCGUAGCUGGUCUGAGAGGAUGAUCAGCCACACUGGAACUGAGACACGGUCCAGACUCCUACGGGAGGCAGCAGUGGGGAAUAUUGGACAAUGGGCGCAAGCCUGAUCCAGCCAUACCACGUGGGUGAAGAAGGCCUUCGGGUUGUAAAGCCCUUUUGUUGGGAAAGAAAAGCAGCAGGUUAAUACCCCGCUGUUCUGACGGGACCCAAAGAAUAAGCACCGGCUAACUUCGU
rnacentral:rRNA from 1 species